UUAGAGUUUGAUCCUGGCUCAAGACGAACGCUGGCGGCGCGCCUAACACAUGCAAGUCAAACGAGCGAGAGAGAGCUUGCUUUCUCAAGCGAGUGGCGAACGGGUGAGUAACGCGUGAGGAACCUGCCUCAAAGAGGGGGACAACAGUUGGAAACGACUGCUAAUACCGCAUAAGCCCACGACCCGGCAUCGGGUAGAGGGAAAAGGAGCAAUCCGCUUUGAGAUGGCCUCGCGUCCGAUUAGCUAGUUGGUGAGGUAAUGGCCCACCAAGGCGACGAUCGGUAGCCGGACUGAGAGGUUGAACGGCCACAUUGGGACUGAGACACGGCCCAGACUCCUACGGGAGGCAGCAGUGGGGAAUAUUGCACAAUGGGGGAAACCCUGAUGCAGCGACGCCGCGUGGAGGAAGAAGGUCUUCGGAUUGUAAACUCCUGUUGUUGAGGAAGAUAAUGACGGUACUCAACAAGGAAGUGACGGCUAACUACGUGCCAGCAGCCGCGGUAAAACGUAGGUCACAAGCGUUGUCCGGAAUUACUGGGUGUAAAGGGAGCGCAGGCGGGAAGACAAGUUGGAAGUGAAAUCCAUGGGCUCAACCCAUGAAUUGCUUUCAAAACUGUUUUUCUUGAGUAGUGCAGAGGUAGGCGGAAUUCCCGGUGUAGCGGUGGAAUGCGUAGAUAUCGGGAGGAACACCAGUGGCGAAGGCGGCCUACUGGGCACCAACUGACGCUGAGGCUCGAAAGUGUGGGUAGCAAACAGGAUUAGAUACCCUGGUAGUCCACACUGUAAACGAUGAUUACUAGGGUGUUGGAGGAUUGACCCCUUCAGUGCCGCAGUUAACACAAUAAGUAAUCCACCUGGGGAGUACGACCGCAAGGUUGAAACUCAAAGGAAUUGACGGGGGCCCGCACAAGCAGUGGAGUAUGUGGUUUAAUUCGACGCAACGCGAAGAACCUUACCAAGUCUUGACAUCCUGCGACGCACAUAGAAAUAUGUUUUUCCUUCGGGACGCAGAGACAGGUGGUGCAUGGUUGUCGUCAGCUCGUGUCGUGAGAUGUUGGGUUAAGUCCCGCAACGAGCGCAACCCUUAUGGUCAGUUACUACGCAAGAGGACUCUGGCCAGACUGCCGUUGACAAAACGGAGGAAGGUGGGGAUGACGUCAAAUCAUCAUGCCCUUUAUGACUUGGGCUACACACGUACUACAAUGGCGUUAAACAAAGAGAAGCAAGACCGCGAGGUGGAGCAAAACUCAGAAACAACGUCCCAGUUCGGACUGCAGGCUGCAACUCGCCUGCACGAAGUCGGAAUUGCUAGUAAUCGCAGAUCAGCAUGCUGCGGUGAAUACGUUCCCGGGCCUUGCACA
rnacentral:rRNA from 1 species